AGUGAACGCUGGCGGUAGGCCUAACACAUGCCAGUCGAACGGCAGCACAGUAAGAGCUUGCUCUUACGGGUGGCGAGUGGCGGACGGGUGAGGAAUACAUCGGAAUCUACUUUUUCGUGGGGGAUAACGUAGGGAAACUUACGCUAAUACCGCAUACGGCCUACGGGUGAAAGCAGGGGAUCUUCGGACCUUGCGCGAUUGAAUGAGCCGAUGUCGGAUUAGCUAGUUGGCGGGGUAAAGGCCCACCAAGGCGACGAUCCGUAGCUGGUCUGAGAGGAUGAUCAGCCACACUGGAACUGAGACACGGUCCAGACUCCUACGGGAGGCAGCAGUGGGGAAUAUUGGACAAUGGGCGAAAGCCUGAUCCAGCCAUACCGCGUGAGUGAAGAAGGCCUUCGGGUUGUAAAGCCCUGUUGUUGGGAAAGAAAAGCAGCAGGUUAAUAACCCGCUGUUAUGACGGUACCCAAAGAAUAAGCACAGGCUAACUUCGUG
rnacentral:rRNA from 1 species